AGGAGAGUUUGAUCCUGGCUCAGGACGAACGCUGGCGGCGUGCUUAACACAUGCAAGUCGUGCGAGGAUACGAUUGGAAGGUCUUCGGACCGGAAGAUUGUAUCCGAGCGGCGGACGGGUGAGUAACGCGUGAGCAACCUGCCUUCAACAGGGGGAUAACGCAUCGAAAGAUGUGCUAAUACCGCGUAAGACCACGGUGUCACAUGGCACAGGGGUCAAAGGAGCAAUCCGGUUGAAGAUGGGCUCGCGUCCGAUUAGCCAGUUGGUGAGGUAACGGCCCACCAAAGCGACGAUCGGUAGCCGACCUGAGAGGGUGAUCGGCCACAUUGGAACUGAGACACGGUCCAGACUCCUACGGGAGGCAGCAGUGGGGAAUAUUGGGCAAUGGGCGAAAGCCUGACCCAGCAACGCCGCGUGAGGGAAGAAGGGUUUCGGCUCGUAAACCUCUGUCCUAAAGGGCGAAGAGAGUGACGGUACUUUAGGAGGAAGCCCCGGCUAACUACGUGCCAGCAGCCGCGGUAAUACGUAGGGGGCGAGCGUUGUCCGGAAUGAUUGGGCGUAAAGGGCGCGUAGGCGGCCCGUUAAGUUAGGAGUGAAAGUCCUGCUUUCAAGGUGGGAAUUGCUUUUAAUACUGACGGGCUGGAGUACAGGAGAGGAAAGCGGAAUUACCGGUGUAGCGGUGAAAUGCGUAGAGAUCGGUAGGAACACCAGUGGCGAAGGCGGCUUUCUGGACUGAAACUGACGCUGAGGCGCGAAAGCGUGGGGAGCAAACAGGAUUAGAUACCCUGGUAGUCCCCU
rnacentral:rRNA from 1 species